CUGGCCUCAGGUGAUCCUCCCACCUUGACUUCCCAGAGUACUGAAAUUAUAGGUGCAAGCCAGCACACCUGACCCUGGACUCUUACUUAGUACCAGCCAGUGCUCUAAGAGAUUUACUUGGAUUAACUCAUUUAAUCCUCAAAAUAAAACCAUGAGGUAUUGACUCAACUGGCUUUGUAUGCUGGGCACCACUUUGCAAACAGCUUACAGGAUGGACUGCAGUCCUCACAACGAUCUUCAAAGGUCCCAGGAGAGAUCAAAGGCCAGGGCUGGUGAGUUCAGGGAAGAGGAAUUGAGGAUGGCCGGUCCCACCACUAUGUAAUGAGAAGGCUGAAAUUUAUGUGGAGACCUGGAGCAUGGGUAGGACUCUGGGGACACAGCCGA
rnacentral:lncRNA from 1 species